rnacentral:rRNA from 1 species
GAUGAGACUAUAUAGUAUCAGCUAGUUGGUAAGGUAAUGGCUUACCAAGGCUAUGACGCUUAACUGGUCUGAGAGGAUGAUCAGUCACACUGGAACUGAGACACGGUCCAGACUCCUACGGGAGGCAGCAGUAGGGAAUAUUGCGCAAUGGGGGAAACCCUGACGCAGCAACGCCGCGUGGAGGAUGACACUUUUCGGAGCGUAAACUCCUUUUCUUAGGGAAGAAUUCUGACGGUACCUAAGGAAUAAGCACCGGCUAACUCCGUGCCAGCAGCCGCGGUAAUACGGAGGGUGCAAGCGUUACUCGGAAUCACUGGGCGUAAAGGGCGCGUAGGCGGAUUAUCAAGUCUCUUGUGAAAUCUAAUGGCUUAACCAUUAAACUGCUUGGGAAACUGAUAGUCUAGAGUGAGGGAGAGGCAGAUGGAAUUGGUGGUGUAGGGGUAAAAUCCGUAGAUAUCACCAAGAAUACCCAUUGCGAAGGCGAUCUGCUGGAACUCAACUGACGCUAAGGCGCGAAAGCGUGGGGAGCAAACAGGAUUAGAUACCCUGGUAGUCCACGCCCUAAACGAUGUACACUAGUUGUUGGGGUGCUAGUCAUCUCAGUAAUGCAGCUAACGCAUUAAGUGUACCGCCUGGGGAGUACGGUCGCAAGAUUAAAACUCAAAGGAAUAGACGGGGACCCGCACAAGCGGUGGAGCAUGUGGUUUAAUUCGAAGAUACGCGAAGAACCUUACCUGGGCUUGAUAUCCUAAGAACCUUUUAGAGAUAAGAGGGUGCUAGCUUGCUAGAACUUAGAGACAGGUGCUGCACGGCUGUCGUCAGCUCGUGUCGUGAGAUGUUGGGUUAAGUCCCGCAACGAGCGCAACCCACGUAUUUAGUUGCUAACGGUUCGGCCGAGCACUCUAAAUAGACUGCCUUCGUAAGGAGGAGGAAGGUGUGGACGACGUCAAGUCAUCAUGGCCCUUAUGCCCAGGGCGACACACGUGCUACAAUGGCAUAUACAAUGAGACGCAAUACCGCGAGGUGGAGCAAAUCUAUAAAAUAUGUCCCAGUUCGGAUUGUUCUCUGCAACUCGAGAGCAUGAAGCCGGAAUCGCUAGUAAUCGUAGAUCAGCCAUGCUACGGUGAAUACGUUCCCGGGUCUUGUACUCACCGCCCGUCACACCAUGGGAGUUGAUUUCACUCGAAGCCGGAAUACUAAACUAGUUACCGUCCACAGUGGAAUCAGCGACUGGGGUGAAGUCGUAACAAGGUAACCGUAGGAGAACCUGCGGUUGGAUCACCUCCUUU